GGGUUGUGAGGUUAAGCGACUAAGCGUACACGGUGGAUGCCCUGGCAGUCAGAGGCGAUGAAGGACGUGCUAAUCUGCGAUAAGCGUCGGUAAGGUGAUAUGAACCGUUAUAACCGGCGAUUUCCGAAUGGGGAAACCCAGUGUGUUUCGACACACUAUCAUUAACUGAAUCCAUAGGUUAAUGAGGCGAACCGGGGGAACUGAAACAUCUAAGUACCCCGAGGAAAAGAAAUCAACCGAGAUUCCCCCAGUAGCGGCGAGCGAACGGGGAGCAGCCCAGAGCCUGAAUCAGUGUGUGUGUUAGUGGAAGCGUCUGGAAAGGCGCGCGAUACAGGGUGACAGCCCCGUACACAAAAAUGCACAUGCUGUGAGCUCGAUGAGUAGGGCGGGACACGUGGUAUCCUGUCUGAAUAUGGGGGGACCAUCCUCCAAGGCUAAAUACUCCUGACUGACCGAUAGUGAACCAGUACCGUGAGGGAAAGGCGAAAAGAACCCCGGCGAGGGGAGUGAAAAAGAACCUGAAACCGUGUACGUACAAGCAGUGGGAGCACGCUUAGGCGUGUGACUGCGUACCUUUUGUAUAAUGGGUCAGCGACUUAUAUUCUGUAGCAAGGUUAACCGAAUAGGGGAGCCGAAGGGAAACCGAGUCUUAACUGGGCGUUAAGUUGCAGGGUAUAGACCCGAAACCCGGUGAUCUAGCCAUGGGCAGGUUGAAGGUUGGGUAACACUAACUGGAGGACCGAACCGACUAAUGUUGAAAAAUUAGCGGAUGACUUGUGGCUGGGGGUGAAAGGCCAAUCAAACCGGGAGAUAGCUGGUUCUCCCCGAAAGCUAUUUAGGUAGCGCCUCGUGAAUUCAUCUCCGGGGGUAGAGCACUGUUUCGGCAAGGGGGUCAUCCCGACUUACCAACCCGAUGCAAACUGCGAAUACCGGAGAAUGUUAUCACGGGAGACACACGGCGGGUGCUAACGUCCGUCGUGAAGAGGGAAACAACCCAGACCGCCAGCUAAGGUCCCAAAGUCAUGGUUAAGUGGGAAACGAUGUGGGAAGGCCCAGACAGCCAGGAUGUUGGCUUAGAAGCAGCCAUCAUUUAAAGAAAGCGUAAUAGCUCACUGGUCGAGUCGGCCUGCGCGGAAGAUGUAACGGGGCUAAACCAUGCACCGAAGCUGCGGCAGCGACGCUUAUGCGUUGUUGGGUAGGGGAGCGUUCUGUAAGCCUGUGAAGGUGUGCUGUGAGGCAUGCUGGAGGUAUCAGAAGUGCGAAUGCUGACAUAAGUAACGAUAAAGCGGGUGAAAAGCCCGCUCGCCGGAAGACCAAGGGUUCCUGUCCAACGUUAAUCGGGGCAGGGUGAGUCGACCCCUAAGGCGAGGCCGAAAGGCGUAGUCGAUGGGAAACAGGUUAAUAUUCCUGUACUUGGUGUUACUGCGAAGGGGGGACGGAGAAGGCUAUGUUGGCCGGGCGACGGUUGUCCCGGUUUAAGCGUGUAGGCUGGUUUUCCAGGCAAAUCCGGAAAAUCAAGGCUGAGGCGUGAUGACGAGGCACUACGGUGCUGAAGCAACAAAUGCCCUGCUUCCAGGAAAAGCCUCUAAGCAUCAGGUAACAUCAAAUCGUACCCCAAACCGACACAGGUGGUCAGGUAGAGAAUACCAAGGCGCUUGAGAGAACUCGGGUGAAGGAACUAGGCAAAAUGGUGCCGUAACUUCGGGAGAAGGCACGCUGAUACGUAGGUGAAGUCCCUCGCGGAUGGAGCUGAAAUCAGUCGAAGAUACCAGCUGGCUGCAACUGUUUAUUAAAAACACAGCACUGUGCAAACACGAAAGUGGACGUAUACGGUGUGACGCCUGCCCGGUGCCGGAAGGUUAAUUGAUGGGGUCAGCGCAAGCGAAGCUCUUGAUCGAAGCCCCGGUAAACGGCGGCCGUAACUAUAACGGUCCUAAGGUAGCGAAAUUCCUUGUCGGGUAAGUUCCGACCUGCACGAAUGGCGUAAUGAUGGCCAGGCUGUCUCCACCCGAGACUCAGUGAAAUUGAACUCGCUGUGAAGAUGCAGUGUACCCGCGGCAAGACGGAAAGACCCCGUGAACCUUUACUAUAGCUUGACACUGAACAUUGAGCCUUGAUGUGUAGGAUAGGUGGGAGGCUUUGAAGUGUGGACGCCAGUCUGCAUGGAGCCGACCUUGAAAUACCACCCUUUAAUGUUUGAUGUUCUAACGUUGACCCGUGAUCCGGGUUGCGGAUAGCGC
rnacentral:rRNA from 1 species